UACGGGAGGUUGCAAGCGUUGUUCGGAAUGGACUGGGCGUAAAGGGAGCGCAGGCGGCCAAGUCAGUCUGAAGUGAAAGCCCGGGGCUUAACCCCGGAAUAGCUUUGGAUACUGCCUGGCUUGAGUGUGCGAUAGGAAAGCGGAAUUCCAGGUGUAGCGGUGAAAUGCGUAGAUAUCUGGAGGAACACCGGUGGCGAAGGCGGGUAACUGGACUGCAACUGACGCUGAGGCGCGAAAGUGUGGGGAGCAAACAGGAUUAGAUACUCCGGUAGU
rnacentral:rRNA from 1 species